UACAUGUGGGGCAAGCGUUGUUCGGAAUUACUGGGCAUAAAGGGUGCGUAGGUGGUUUGUUAAGUCAGGGGUGAAAUCCCGCGGCCCAACCGUGGAACUGCCUUUGAUACUGGCGAACUUGAGUGCGUGAGGGGUAGGGGGAACGAGCAGUGUAGCGGUGAAAUGCGUAGAUAUCUGGAGGAACACCGGUGGCGAAGGCGGCAUCCUGGACCGGCAUUGACGCUGAGGCGCGAAAGCCAGGGGAGCAAACGGG
rnacentral:rRNA from 1 species